rnacentral:rRNA from 2 species
UUAAUUUGAGAGUUUGAUCCUGGCUCAGGACGAACGCUGGCGGCGUGCCUAAUACAUGCAAGUCGAACGAACUCUGGUAUUGAUUGGUGCUUGCAUCAUGAUUUACAUUUGAGUGAGUGGCGAACUGGUGAGUAACACGUGGGAAACCUGCCCAGAAGCGGGGGAUAACACCUGGAAACAGAUGCUAAUACCGCAUAACAACUUGGACCGCAUGGUCCGAGUUUGAAAGAUGGCUUCGGCUAUCACUUUUGGAUGGUCCCGCGGCGUAUUAGCUAGAUGGUGGGGUAACGGCUCACCAUGGCAAUGAUACGUAGCCGACCUGAGAGGGUAAUCGGCCACAUUGGGACUGAGACACGGCCCAAACUCCUACGGGAGGCAGCAGUAGGGAAUCUUCCACAAUGGACGAAAGUCUGAUGGAGCAACGCCGCGUGAGUGAAGAAGGGUUUCGGCUCGUAAAACUCUGUUGUUAAAGAAGAACAUAUCUGAGAGUAACUGUUCAGGUAUUGACGGUAUUUAACCAGAAAGCCACGGCUAACUACGUGCCAGCAGCCGCGGUAAUACGUAGGUGGCAAGCGUUGUCCGGAUUUAUUGGGCGUAAAGCGAGCGCAGGCGGUUUUUUAAGUCUGAUGUGAAAGCCUUCGGCUCAACCGAAGAAGUGCAUCGGAAACUGGGAAACUUGAGUGCAGAAGAGGACAGUGGAACUCCAUGUGUAGCGGUGAAAUGCGUAGAUAUAUGGAAGAACACCAGUGGCGAAGGCGGCUGUCUGGUCUGUAACUGACGCUGAGGCUCGAAAGUAUGGGUAGCAAACAGGAUUAGAUACCCUGGUAGUCCAUACCGUAAACGAUGAAUGCUAAGUGUUGGAGGGUUUCCGCCCUUCAGUGCUGCAGCUAACGCAUUAAGCAUUCCGCCUGGGGAGUACGGCCGCAAGGCUGAAACUCAAAGGAAUUGACGGGGGCCCGCACAAGCGGUGGAGCAUGUGGUUUAAUUCGAAGCUACGCGAAGAACCUUACCAGGUCUUGACAUACUAUGCAAAUCUAAGAGAUUAGACGUUCCCUUCGGGGACAUGGAUACAGGUGGUGCAUGGUUGUCGUCAGCUCGUGUCGUGAGAUGUUGGGUUAAGUCCCGCAACGAGCGCAACCCUUAUUAUCAGUUGCCAGCAUUAAGUUGGGCACUCUGGUGAGACUGCCGGUGACAAACCGGAGGAAGGUGGGGAUGACGUCAAAUCAUCAUGCCCCUUAUGACCUGGGCUACACACGUGCUACAAUGGAUGGUACAACGAGUUGCGAACUCGCGAGAGUAAGCUAAUCUCUUAAAGCCAUUCUCAGUUCGGAUUGUAGGCUGCAACUCGCCUACAU